rnacentral:rRNA from 1 species
UACGUAGGUGGCAAGCGUUGUCCGGAUUUACUGGGCGUAAAGCGUGUGUAGGCGGCUACGUAAGUCGGAUGUGAAAGCCCCAGGCUCAACCUGGGAAGUGCACUCGAUACUGCGUAGUUUGAGUAUCGGAGAGGUUGGUGGAAUUCUCGGUGUAGAGGUGAAAUUCGUAGAUAUCGAGAGGAACACCGGUGGCGAAGGCGGCCAACUGGACGAAUACUGACGCUGAGACAUGAAAGCGUGGGGAGCAAACAGG